UACGAAGGGGGCUAGCGUUGUUCGGAAUUACUGGGCGUAAAGGGCGCGUAGGCGGUGUGUCAAGUCAGGCGUGAAAUCCCCAGGCUCAACCUGGGAACUGCGUCUGAUACUGGAUGGCUUGAAUCCGGGAGAGGGAUGCAGAAUUCCAGGUGUAGCGGUGAAAUGCGUAGAUAUCUGGAGGAAUACCGGUGGCGAAGGCGGCAUCCUGGACCGGCAUUGACGCUGAGGAGCGAAAGCCAGGGGAGCAAACGGG
rnacentral:rRNA from 1 species